rnacentral:lncRNA from 1 species
UUUCUGUUCACAAAUGGAAUUGUUUUAAAAACUAACCUUUAAUUUUUGUGAUUUCUAUAUGCCUUCACUGGGAUUUGAACCCGUCCAUGAAUUCUGAUACGUGUUACUAAUAUCAACAUAUCGACGAAACCUCUUGGCUAUCAAUCGGUUACGAUUUAAAAGUCUAUUUGAUAUAUAUAAAUGAAUCUGUACAACAGACACACAGGGCCUCUACUUUUAUAUAUACAUAAUAGGCAAUCGAAUAGUAUGAAUUGGUAGCCACGAGUGGUUAAGAUAAAUGAGUUCAAGGUACCGAC